rnacentral:sRNA from 1 species
AAAAAAAAUCUAGUCAAACCGGAUUUAACAUACAAUCAGACCGGAAAUAAUUUAAUUGAGGGCUAGCUAAUAAAUCUCAUAUAACAAAAAAUUUCGAAAUUUUAAAAAUAAAUCUGUCAAAAAAAGUCUGUUAUUACUAAAAAAGUUAUUCUAGUCAUAAACAAAUCGGCCAUAACAUUGACAUGAGUAAAUCUGUUAUGCUUUGACACUGAAAAACAAAACUGUCAUCACUAAAAACAAAUCUGUUAUCACUAUGUGACUGUGUAGUAAUUUUAUUUUUUAACAAAAAUCUGUUGUAAAACACCAAAUUUGUUAACAAGUUAAUUAAAUCUGUGAUUACACAAAACAACUUUGUCAUGCCUAUAUAACAUUUUUCGAGGUUAACAAAUCUGUUAUAACACAACAGAUUUUUGGGUGCAAAUAGAAAAUCUGUUGCCACCAUAAAGAAAAAUCUGUGGUCCGGAAAACAAAUCAGUGACAGAUUUGGUUUCAACAUUCUUACUUUUGAAAUUUAAAUAAAAUCUGUGGAGACUAUAUGAAACAAAUCAGUCACGGUUAAAAAAUCUGCGAAAAAAAAAAAUCUGGCGUAACAUAACACAGUAAAGUCUGUGGUACAAAACAAGUCUGUUGUAAAAAAUCUGUGGUUGACCAACAAAUCUGUGAUCGAUAACAAAUCCGUCGCAACAAGAGCCACAGAUUUACCAAAAACGACGAUGGCAUUUUCGUAAAUAAAUGUGGUUUUAUUGCCUUGCUGGAAUUAAAUAGUAAUGGCAUUUCUGUAAUAUUGUUUUUCUCUGUAAAGGAAAACAAGGAUAAUUUAGGUAUAAUUAUUACUCAAAUAACUCAUAUUUUUAGCAUUCCUUUUGGGUCAUUAUGUAUAAAAUAUGGGUUACUCUAGUAAAUUUCCCUUUUAUUUAUCCCCUCGCUAAAACCAUUUCCAAU